CAGGUUUGGCACAGUGCGCAACCCGAAAACAUGUAACCUGAAGCAUCAGUAACCUGAGGUACCACUGUAAUUGGAUUGCUCUUUUAAUCCUGUGGUACUUGUUUGGCAGUCAGGUCCAUUGGAAUUAACAGGAGUUCUUUCAAGCCUCAGCUCUUUAUCGAAAUGAUGUGUGUUGUGGAAUCCAUAUACUAUUUAAACCAGCCUUGUGACAUGCAGAGGUUCCAUUUGACAUGUUGGUUACUGGUCCCCAAACCUCCACAGGCUGCAACUUCAAGAAUUGCCAAGAAGGGAGAACCUUCCUUGUUAAAUCUUUUCCCAUCUCAGUGUUGAAGUGACAGCAGAAACCAACCUGGUUUUUCAGUGCAAUCAUACACAUCUCUGCGCAGAAAUGAGUUCUAUUCAGUGGCAGUUCACAUGCCCUUGAAAAUGUGAAUAAUAAGGUGAGGCACCCUUUGAAUAUGUGCAGAGAUAUUUCAUUCAUCGCUGAGUAACUGCAGCCAGUCCCCAUACACACACACAUUCCUGGAAGUAAGGUUAACAUUAUUGCGUGUGUUUUCCAGCUAAUCUAGAAUGCUGUUGCCUCAUUUUUAAAUGUUCUGUGCUAUCUCUAGAUUGAUCUUACUAUUAGGCAAUGUGAGGUAAUUCACCCCAGGCAGCACCCAUGAAAGGGUAUCCUUUCUUUCUUUCUUUCUUUCUUUCUUUCUUUCUUUCAUUUAUUUUUGCCACCAUGUGAGGCCUCUCACUUGGUUGUUUUGCUUGAAGCAUCAAAAUGUCUUAAACUGCCUCCUCAGCAUCUCAGAAAUCUGUUUCAAGUAUUGUGCAAUUACAUGUAGUAAGCCACCUGCUUGUAAAUGAGCGUCUUUGGUGUGUUCUAUGCAAUUUCUUAUCAUACAGCAGAAUUUUAAAGCUGAGUUUUGUUAUUUUAUUUUUUUUAAAUCCUUGCCUUCCAAACCAAUAGGCAAGAAAGUGGGAGAAAACGCAAAAGAGACAGCAACCCCAAGAACAUGCUGCAUCCGAAAAUGGCCAUCAGGCUUCCUUGUUCCCAUCCAUAUAAGUGUUUAGUAGAUCACAUUAAAACUGAGCAACUUGCCCCACUUCAAAUCUA